GCAACCAGUCAAGCCUUAUAAGUAUGCACUUUUCCUUCCAUGUAUGUCUUCUUCUUGAAGAUCCAUUUGCACCCGACUGUUUUACAGCCUGGUACAUUGUCAACCAAGUUCCAAACUUGAUUGUCAUACAUGGACUGUAUCUCGCUGUCCAUAGCCUCCUUCCAUUUAGCAGACUCCGGGCCUGCCAUGGCUUCCUUAACACUGCUAGGUUCAUCCAAAUUUACUAGUGUACUAUCACUAAUAAACGUAUCACCUUCCGUAGUAAUAUGAAAACCAUAAUAAAACGAAGGUGUGUUCCUAACCCGUGUGGAACGUCUCGGAGGUACAGACUCGUCAGCUGGAUCAACAGGAGUUUCUACCUCAGGUUGAUUGCUAGUGUCUGAGGUUCCUUCACCAAUUGAUUCUUGAAUUUCUUCAAGAUCAAUCUGCCUCCCACUGUCUCCUUGGCUUAUAAAUUCUUUCUCGCGAAAGAUCCCUCUUCGUGCUACAAAGACCACAUUCUCACUGGGUCUGUAGAAAAGGUAACCGAAGGAUUUCUGUGGGUAGCCGAUGAAAAUACACCUUUCACUUCGGGGUUCAAGCUUAUCAUGAGUUUCACGCCUCACGAAGGCUUCGCAACCCCAAAUUUUGAUGUGGUCCAAAUUGGGAACCUUCCCAGUCCACAUUUCAUGAGGUGUUUUGGUAACCUUCUUUGUAGGGACUAGAUUAAGGAUAUGGGCGGCAGUCUCUAAGGCAUACCCCCAAAAAGAGAUUGGUAACGAAACUCGACUCAUCAUAGAGCGAACCAUGUCCAACAAGGUACGAUUACGCCUCUCAGCUACACCAUUCAGCUGUGGUGUCCUGGGAGGAGUCAAUUGUGAGACAAUCCCACACUCCUUAAGAUAGUCAAGGAACUCGGUACUAAGAUACUCACCACCUCGAUCGGAUCGAAGCAUCUUAAUGUUCCUGCCCAAUUGAUUUUCUACUUCCUGUUUGAAUUCCUUAAACCUUUCAAAGGUUUCGGACUUGUGUUUGAUCAAGUAGACAUACCCAUAUCUACUAUAAUCAUCAAUAAAAGUCACAUAAUACCGAUUAGCGUCCCUUGUGGCGGUUUUGAAUGGCCCACAUACAUCAGUAUGUAUUAGGUCCAACAAACCUUCACCCCUCUCACAAGUUCCAGUGAAGGGUGAUUUUGUCAUUUUUCCAAGUAGACAAGAUUCACAACUAUCAUCUGAUUUGAGGUCAAAUGAUUCCAAGACUCCACUCUUUUGGAGUUGGUCUAUGCGUUUCUUGUUUACAUGUCCAAGACGACAAUGCCACAAUGAUGCUUUAUCUAGGCUAGUAGAAGAAUCAAUAUACAACACAUUAUUUCCUAAGUUGUCUACAAUCGACACAGUUUCAUACACGCCAUCACAAGGUAAUGCUUUAAAAUAAAACACAUUAUUAAAGAAAGCAUUAAUACCACCACAUUCAUUAUCAAACGAAAAGGUAAAACCUUGUUUGUACAAAGCAUGAAAAGAAAUAAUAUUCCUCGCCAUUUCAGACGAGUAUACACAUUUAUUCAAAUCUAAUUUUAACCCAUUAUUAAGCAACAAAGUAUAAACUCCAAUCUUGGAAACAGGUGAAGCCUUCCUAUUCCCCAUGAUUAAGUUUAUCUUCCCGUGCUCCACAUCCUCACUUCUUCUUAGGCCCUGCAAAUCAGAACAUAUGUGAAUACCACAUCCUGUAUCAAGCACCCAAGAGUUAGAAUAUGUUGAGUAAUUAGACAAUAUAGUGUAAAUACCUGCAUAGGUGGGUUUCACUUUCCCAUCCUUUAGAUCCUGCAAGUACUUAGGGCAGUUUCGCUUCCAGUGUGCCUUUUCAUGGCAAUAAAAGCAUUCAGCAUCCUUUGGAAUGGCAGAAGGAGUGACAGAACCGUUCUUAGUCUUGGAUGAGGAGCCUUCAAGAGACUUUCCCUUGGUACCCUUCGAAGGGUGCUUCCUCUUUUUCCCUUUGCCUUGCCCAAUAGCUAAAACAGGGGUAGAAGUUGGAGUAGGAGUAGUAGAGGUAACAACCGCUUUACCCUUAAGACCGGUUUCAGCGGUCUUCAAGAGUCCUUGAAGCUUGCUGAGGGUAACUUCCUCCUUGUUCAUAUGAUAUGUCAUUCGAAAAUGAUCAUAACAAGAAGGCAAGGAGUGCAAAAUGAUGUCAAUUGCUAACUCCUCGGGGAUGUUAACAUUCAGCUUCAGCAAACGGUCCACAUACCUUUGCAUCUUUUGCAUGUGGCCCGUGACGGAUUCACCGUCCUUCAUGCGGGUAGUUAUUAUGGAGGAGAUUAUUUCAUACCGCUCCUGACGAGCACUCUGAUGGUACCUUUCCAUCAAGUCUUGGUGCAUCUCAAAAGGGUAGAAAUCUUCAUAUGACUUUUGGAGCUCGGCUGUCAUCGUGGCCAUCAUGAUACAUGCCACCUUAGUAGCAUCUCUCUCAUGAGUCCUGAAUUCAGCGAUCUCCUCAGGAGUAGCAGUAGACUCAUCAAGUUCUUUUAACUCCUUAUCGAGGACAUAUUCCUUGUCCUCGUAACGAGUAACCAUCCUGAUGUUCCUAAUCCAAUCCAUGAAGUUGGAACCAUCAAAGAUGACCCUCCCACAAAGAUUCAUGAGAGAGAAAGAACCAGUUGGGUUAGAGCCUGAAGCAUUAGUGUUGGAAGACAUCUGAAAGAAGAAAGUAAGUUUAGAUUAGAUAUUUAGGAUCCUUAAUAAGACACCCAAAUGUAAUAUUAAGGCUAGGAUCCAAUCACAAUAUAUUACACUUAGAAGAGGGAUGCCGUAAUCUAAGUAAUAAUAUAUUUGAAAGGUAGGCGAAUGACGAUUCACCAAUUUCCACCAUGAAAACGAAAUGAUUAAUUAGGUUUAAUUGGAUUUGAAAUUCCUAGAUUCUUUUGAGAUUCAUUGAACUUUUCAAUGGCAUGUUUCAAUCUCGAUUGUGCCCUUCAAGUUUUGUGACUGGGAUGCCGAGGAUCACAAAACAAGGUGUGAAUAACCAUGCUAACUCACUUGGUACUCCUAAUAUUAUCACCUAAUCAAUGUGCCGGUUAACCACACACGCUCCAUUGAUCUAUGACAACAUUAAGUUACCCUUCGUGAUCCUUACUAGUCUAAUUAGUGUGCCGGUUAACCACACACGCUCCACUAACGACUUGGUAAGGUACAAAGUGUGAAUUCCAUGGAUUAGCACCAUGUUCACAUUUUCCUAAAAUAACUAAGAUUGGGAAUUAAAAGAGUUUAGUUAUUUUAUAAUAUUCAUUAUACUUUUAAUGAGGAUUUAAAGUCGUUGUUCUACCCGUUCGGCUAACGACCCUCCACCGAUCAAGCAAGCGGUGGGUGAGAGUAUACACCCAUUAAGUCGCCAUUUUAUAGGCAACAACCUUAUACCCACCUUAUAGACCGGCUUCGUGAAUGAGGCCUACUAACGGUAAAACGACUUAUUCUUAUACAUAUAUAUAAUAAUUAACCAUUAAUGUUAUAAAUAGUAUAAGGGUUGAAUUUUAACUAUUAAAACUCUAAGGUUUGGAAUUAAAGUUUAUUAAAGUGUGUGAAACUUUACAAAUUCCAAAACUUGAGGACAAGUUUUGUAACUUUGCAAAACUCUUCAUUUCAUAACUUAUGAAUUAAAGGUUCAUAAAAAUGAAGACUCUUCAUUUUCAUGUAACUUAUGUGUUUUAAGUGUGUGUUAAAUGAAAGUGACCUUUGGUAAUCCAUAACUUGAGGACAAAUUAUGGACUCCAUUAAAACACAUAAAUGAUUAAGAAUUAAUUCUAAACAAUUCAGCAAAUAAUUCCUAUCAUUUUCUAAAUUCAUAAGAACAUGAACAUGAUCAUCAAAAAUUCAAGAAUUAUAUGAACACAUAAAAUCAUGGAUUUUUGAUAUAUGCUAUUGUAAAUGGAUUAGAACAACCAUUACACCAACUAAAAUAAGUUUUACAACACCAAAACAAUUUAGGGUAAUGUUUCCAGUCCAUUUCCAGCAGCAAAAGUCGAGAUUCUGCAUUCUUUCGAUCCUACUCGCCGAGUGCACGAACGGACUCGUCGAGUAGGUUGAAGUUUGCCUUGGACUCGGCGAGUCCCCCCAAUGGACUCGGCGAGUCUAGCAUGCAGACAGCAACGAUUUCGACUUUUUUCACUAUUUUGCAUCAAGUAUCAAACAAGCAAGCCUAGGCUCUGAUACCACUGUUGGGUUUUGAGCAAUCUAACACUUCCUAAGUGUGCAUGCAACCCUAAUAAACCUUGGAUCUAUGUUUGUCUAAAUACAUGCAAAAUAAUAAUUUUCCAAGGUUUAUAACCUAUCUAACAUGGCAUGGGGAACAUUUCAACAUAAAAGAGUUAGAAGAGAUUACAUACCUUUGUUGUGUUGGGUUCUUAGGAGUUUGAGGGCCAAGCACCAAUAGUGUGAAUGCCUCAAAUGGAAUCACAAACACCACAAACUCUUGGAAAACUUUGAGAGAGUAUACACACUCUUGUAUUUUCGGCCACACACAUGCACACACACACUAGAACACUAGCUUUCUCUUAGGCUAUCUUAGGCUCUCUUUCAUGCUCCAUAAGCAUGCUUAUAUAGUAUGCAUGGUUAGGGUGAAACCCUAAUAACCCAUGUCUUUUCCUAUUCCAAGGAUCCAUGGGUUAAAAGCUCCAUGGAUCAUCCAUGGACUUCCACAUAAGCCUAGCCCAUUAACAAAUGAGUAUUAGCCCACACUAUAUAAAACAAAUAGCCCAUAAUUUAAUUAGUAUUCCUUUUAAUCUCUAAAUUAAUCCAUAAUUAAUUUAAGACUAAAACUAAUUAAAUAACGUAACUUCAUAUUAAUAUAUUAUAACUCAUAAUAUAUUAAUAAACAUAUGUGUAUAACUCUCAUAAAAUUAUCCAUAAUAGUUUGGAUGAGAUGCAACCCAAAUGGACCAUGCCGGUCGGGUCAAGUAUAUACCAAAUAAGUUAUGGACUUAGACACCUUAUCCAACAGACUCCCACUUGGAUAAGUCUAAUAACUAUAUUUGCCUAUAACUUCAGGAACCAACCAACAAUCGUAGCUCUCGAAAACUCCCUCGAACAAUGAAGACUCUGUCGAACUAUGAAGCGCCAUUUUAGAUAAGUGAUCACAUAAUCCUCUGUUCUCAUGAUAUCAGCCGGACAAACACAUGGAACUAUGUCUUGCUUAUUGUCUAGCAGUUGUUUCUCGAUUAUCCGAUUUGUUUGACGAAGAACUUCACUGAACACAUCGGUUUAGUUCUGACCAGGCCUGGUAUAUGGGUCAACACAAAAUCAUCGAGGGGCCCGGAUAUCGCUUCUAUUUCUAGAAGGAACAGAUAAACUUCGACUGAUAUGCUUGUUCUACUACUUAUUGAAUUGUACACAAAGGCACGUUUUAUAACAUCAAGUUACUGAUGCGUUUACGUGCAAUCAAUGCACAACCAACUCAUAGGUAACAACUCAUAUCUCUAGGUUUAAAGAUUUAUAUGAUGUUAUCGUCUCACGAUCACUCGAGAUAAAUUCCAUGAAGUGAUACAAGUGAGCGUGGGUUUAUACCAAUACUCAUAACUUAUGAGUACUCAUGAAUGUUGCAGCAACCAUUGCCAUGCCUAAACACCUUUAAGGCAUCUACAAACCCAAUUCAUGACAAUCUUGAUUCAUACCUACUUCCGACGUAUGAUCGAUUGUGGAGGUUUGAACAAAUUAAUUAUUCUGGAAGUCAAAACAUGCAAAACUGAAACAAUAGUAAAUAAUUGACAAUGAUAGUAACACUUUACUCAUAAAUAAAUCACAAAUUUUAUUCAUCAUCAAACGUCGAUUACAUUUUACAAGUUUCAGGAAAACUAUCUAAUCUGUAAAACUAAUAUCGUCCCUCAGCCCGAUGCGUCUCGCAUGCUGAAAAUGCUUAACCCUCGUCAGUCCCUUCGUAAGGGGAUCUGCAGGAUUCUCAUCUGACGAUAUCCUCCUUGUCACAAGGAGUCCUUCUUCAAUCUUGUGCCUUAUGAAGUGAUAUUUUCUGUCAAUGUGUCGGGAUCUGCCAUGAUCUCUUGGUUCCUUGGCUAAGAUAACCGCAGCAUUGUUGUCACAGAAAAUCUCUAUAGGUUCCUUAAUAGCUGGUACAACUCCAAGGUCUCCGAUGAAGUUCUUUAGCCAUAUCGCCUCCUUCGCUGCUUCACUCGCUGCUAUAUACUCUGAUUCACAAGUCGAAUCAGCCACCGUCUCCUGCUUGGAACUCUUCCAAGAAAUUGCCCCUCCAUUUAAGGUAAAGAUCCAGCCCGACUGAGAGCGGAAAUUAUCCCUAUCAGUCUGAAAACCAGCAUCACUAUACCCUAAUAUUCUCAAGUCAUCACUGCCACCAAGGGUAAGGACCCAAUCCUUAGUCCUCCGCAGGUACUUGAGAAUGUUCUUUACCGCGGUCCAAUGAGCCUUGCCAGGGUUCCCCUGAUACCUGCUGACCAUGCUCAAAGCAAAUGCCACAUCAGGACGGGUACAAGUCAUAGCAUACAUGAUCGAGCCAACUGCGGAAGCAUAUGGUAAUUGGCUCAUCUCAGCUAUCUCAGCCUCUGUACUCGGACUCUGAGUCUUACUCAGUUUGGUAUUGCUUUGGAUCGGUAAAUCUCCUUUCUUGGAAUUCUCCAUGUUGAACCUUUUCAACACCUUAUCCAAGUAGAUACUCUGACUAAGUCCAAUUAGUCUUCUACUCCUUUCUCUUAAUAUCCUUAUCCCUAGGAUAUAGGUAGCCUCCCCUAGGUCCUUCAUAGCAAAGCACUUCCCAAGCCAGGACUUAACCUCCUGCAAGGUUGGGAUGUCAUUUCCUAUGAGUAGUAUGUCAUCCACAUACAGUACCAAGAAGCUAACUAUACUCCCACUAGCUCUGACAUACACGCAAGACUCAUCUUCGCUUCUCAAGAAGCCAAACUCUUUUACCUUCUCAUCAAAACAAAGAUUCCAGCUACGAGAUGCUUGUUUUAAUCCAUAAAUGGAUUUCUUAAGCUUGCAUACUCUAUUAGGGUACUCUGCAUUGACAAAACCCUCUGGCUGAUUCAUGUACACAUCCUCAGCCAACUUUCCAUUAAGGAAAGCGGUUUUGACAUCCAUUUGCCAUAUUUCAUAAUCAUGAAAUGCUGCAAUGGCUAACAUAACCCUAAUAGACUUAAUCUUGGCCACCGGCGAGAAGGUUUCAUCAUAAUCAAUACCUUGAGUUUGAGUAAAACCCUUCGCAACCAGUCGAGCCUUAUAAGUAUGCACUUUUCCUUCCAUGUCGGUCUUCUUUUUGAAGAUCCAUUUGCACCCGACUGUUUUACGGCCUGGUACAUUGUCAACCAAGUUCCAAACUUGAUUGUCAUACAUGGACUGUAUCUCGCUGUCCAUAGCCUCCUUCCAUUUAGCAGACUCCGGGCCUGCCAUGGCUUCCUUAACACUGCUAGGUUCAUCCAAAUUUACUAGUGUACUAUCACUAAUAAACGUAUCACCUUCCGUAGUAAUAUGAAAACCAUAAUAAAACGAAGGUGUGUUCCUAACCCGUGUGGAACGUCUCGGAGGUACAGACUCGUCAGCUGGAUCAACAGGAGUUUCUUCCUCAGGUUGAUUGCUAGUGUCUGAGGUUCCUUCACCAAUUGAUUCUUGAAUUUCUUCAAGAUCAAUCUGCCUCCCACUGUCUCCUUGGCUUAUAAAUUCUUUCUCGCGAAAGAUCCCUCUUCGUGCUACAAAGACCACAUUCUCACUGGGUCUGUAGAAAAGGUAACCGAAGGAUUUCUGUGGGUAGCCGAUGAAAAUACACCUUUCACUUCGGGGUUCAAGCUUAUCAUGAGUUUCACGCCUCA
rnacentral:lncRNA from 1 species